UGUUCCUACGGGACGCAGCAGUGGGGAAUAUUGCACAAUGGGGGAAACCCUGAUGCAGCGAUGCCGCGUGAGUGAAGAAGUAUUUCGGUAUGUAAAGCUCUAUCAGCAGGGAAGAAGAAGGACGGUACCUGAGUAAGAAGCCCCGGCUAACUACGUGCCAGCAGCCGCGGCAAUACGCAGGGGGCAAGCGUUAUCCGGAUUUACUGGGCGUAAAGGGAGCGUAGACGGCGAAGAAAGUCUGAAGUGAAAGCCCGCGGCUCAACCGCGGAAUGGCUUUGGAAACUUUUUUGCUGGAGUACCGGGGG
rnacentral:rRNA from 1 species